rnacentral:lncRNA from 1 species
GCACCCCACUGUGCUCUCAAUAAAUGUGUUUCCUGUCUUAACAAAAACUGAUGGAUGUGCUACUAAUAUAAGGAGGGGCGAGUGUUGGGCAUCCUGUCUCGCUGGGUAGUGUGAUGGGUGGGAGGGCGGGGGCCGACUUGAACCCCACACACCUGCCAGCACCCUACCCUGCCCACUGGGCUCUCAAAGGGGAGGGUGGCUCUUGGAGGUCCGGAGGUUGACACGUGCUUGGAUGAACUAACAUCUCUCUGGUCCCCUCCUUCUACUGAUCGUGGGAUGCCAGGCUUCUUUCCAGAAGGGACUGUACAGGAGGAGGUGGUGGUGGAGAGGGGUUCUGAGUUGAGCUCACUGCGUGAGUUCCUGGAGCCCCAGAGAGGAAGCUCCCCUGGGGCUCUGAGUCUUCCUCCUCCUCUUCUCACAUUCCCCAGGGCUGGGCUGAGUGGUCAUCAUGCUUGAACUGAUGUUGAGCGAUGGCCAAGAUGGCCCAGCCAGGCUGUGGCUAAACUCAUUCCUCAAAAUGGCUCCUGAGCAAGGCUCUGUGUGUAGGCUCCUGAGCAGGGCUGCAAAGGUGGAGCCUCAGACCCAUCCCUGCCCGCGGCAGCAAUGCCGGCUGAGCUGGGGAGGUGAGCCUUGCACCCCUCAGAGUGGCUUUCUGUGAGCAGCUUGUGGCUGGGCUGAGCGGGGGCACUGAGGGGCAAGGGGCCAAAGGGCACUAGACCCAAGUCAAGACGGAUCCUGAGUCUGCACACCUGGCUUUGCUGCAGCGGAUCAUAAGGACAUGCUCCCUAUGGGGAAGGAGAGACCGACUGCUUUUGCUGCCACAGCCACCACGGCCAUCACAGCUACCACGGCCGCCACUGCCACUGCCACUACCACCACCAUCACAACCAUGGCCGCCACUGCCACUGCCACCUCCUCCCUCUUCUCCUUGCUCUCCUCCUCCUCCUCUUCUUCCUCCUCUUCCUCCCUCUUUUCCUUCCGUCUCCUCCUCCCUCCUCUUCCUCCUCCUCUUCCUCCUCCUCUUCCUCCCACCUUCUCUUCUUCCUCUUCCUCCUCCUCCUUCUUCCUCCUCUUCCUUCCUCUUCUUCUUUCUCCUUCCUCCUUCUCCCUCCCCCUCUUUCUCCCUCUUCGCCUUCCUUUCCUGCCUUCUUCUCCUCUUCCUUUUCCUCCUUCCUUUUUCCUUUCCUUCUCCCUCCUCCUCCUCUUUCUCCCUCUUCUUCCUUUUUGUCCUCCUCCUUCCUUCCUUUCAUUUGUUUCUCCCUCCUCCCCCUCCCCCUCUCUCUUUUUCUUCUCCUUCUUUCUCCUCCUCCUCCUGCUUCUCCUCCUCCUCUCCCUCACAGGGAGGUACCUCAAGAGAACUGCAGGCAAGUCCAGCCGUAAGUGCACAGGACUGAGCAUGGCCCCUUUGCUGAGAGAAACAACCGCCUUGGGGAUCAUGGCCAUGACCUGGCAAAGGAGACCUGACCCCAGCCCCUGAUGGAGAUGGUGACAUGGAUGGCGCUGAGUCAGCAGUGAGAAGAGGAGGAGAUGGCCUUCAGAGUGCACCCCACCUAGAUGAGUCAGUCUGUGCUCAGCCAAGACCAGGCUGAGAGUCCAGGAGAGUCCUGUGUGGUGAGCAGAGUAUCAGCCUUUGAUGAAGCUCAGGUGUCCAGAGCAAGCCACCCACUGAUGUUCCAGAGCCAAGACCCCAGCUCCAGCCUCUGUUGAACCUUGGGCAUUCAGAAUGAGCCACCCAACUUUUGACGUCCCAGAGCUAAGACUCAGUUCCAGCCUCCAAUGAAACCCAGAUGUUCAGAAAGAGGGACCUCCUUGAUGUUCUAGAGCCAGGACUCCAGAUCUAGCAUCAGGUGAUGCUCAGAGGUCUAGAAAGAGGAACCUGCUUAAUGUUCUAGAGCCAAGACUCCAGAUCCAGCAUCUGAUGCUCAGAUAUUCAGAAACAGGGACCUCCUUGAUAUUCUAGAGCCGGGACUCCAGAUCCAGUGUCUGAUGCUCAGAUAUCCAGAAAGAGGGACCUCCUUGAUUUUCUAGAGCCAGGACUCCAGAUCCAGCAUCCGAUGAUGCUGAGAUGUCCAGAAAGAGAGACCUUGAUGUUCUAGAGCCAGGAUUCCAGAUCCAGUGUCUGAAGAAGCUCAGAGGUCCAGAAAGAGGGACCUCCUUGAUGUUCUAGAGCCAGGACUCCAGUUCCAGCCUCCAGUGAAGCUCAGAUGUCCAGAAAGAGGGACUACCUUGAUGUUUUAGAGCCAGGACUCCAGCUCCAGCCUCCGAUAAAGCUCGGAUGUUCAGAAUGAAGGACGUCCUUGAUGUUCUAGAGCCAAGACCCAGCUGUAGCACUUAACAAAGCUCAAGUGUCCAGAAAGAAGUGCCUCUUUGAUGUUCCAAAGCCAAGAUAACACCUCUAUCAUUUGAUAAAGAUCAAGUGUACAGGAAGAGGGACCUCCUUGAUGUCCCUCUUCAGCCAGGACUUCAGCUCUAGCUUUCGAAGAAGCGCAGAUGUCCAGAAAGAGGGACCUCUUUGAUGUUCUAGGGCUGGGACCCAGUUCCAACAUCUGACAAAGCCCAGAUUUCCAGAAAGAGGGGUCUCCUUGAUGUUCCAGAGCUGAGGGACCUCCGUGAUGUUCCAAAGCUAGGACUUUAGCUUUAGUUUUUGAUGAAGCUCAGAUGUGCAGAAAGAGGGACUUCCUUGAUGUUCUAGGGCUGGGACUCAGCUCCAACCUCUGACAAAGCUCAGAUGUCCAAAAAGAAGAGUUUCCUUGAUGUUCUCGAACCCGGACUCUAGCCCUAGCCUCUAAUGAAGCUCAGAUGUCCAGAAAGAAGGACUUUCUUGAAAUUCUAGAGCCAGAACUCCAGCUCCAGCCUCUGAUGAAGCUCAGAUAUUCAGAAAGGGGGACUUCCUUUAUGUUCCAGAGCCAAGACCCAGCUCCAACCUCUGACAAAGCCCAGAUGUCCAGAAAGAGGGACCCCCUUGAUGUUCUAGAGCUGGAACCCAGAUCUAGCCUCUGAGGAAACCCAGGUGUCCAGAACUGGUGAGAAAACCUCAAGCCUCUGGGCUUUCCUGGGCAGGGAUAGGUGUGGCCAAGUUUGUCUUGAGACUGGAGAGGGCAGACAACACUCUUCUGUGCAAUGGUGGCCUGCAACAUUUCUCAAUAGUGACACUGGCAUAAAGAGGGGUCCCAGUUGCAGGAGAGAUGUGGAGAGGGGACUCCUUGUGGGAGGAAGCGUAUUAGGAAGAACAUGGCAGCAGAAAUCAUGGAUUGCAGAUGGGAUGCCUUCGAUGAAGCUUGCCUGAGGGCGUGUAACACCGCAGCAAAGCGCUGUUUUAUGCCUUUUAGUUUUGCUGGACUCAUGGCUGGCCACACAUCAGCCUUGACCCACAGGGCUGCCAAAUUGGCUGGACCCCGGAAUGUAACCCAAGCUAGUUUCUGCGGCUUAGCUCCUCUCCCAGUGGAAGGUGCUAAACCCCCACUUGCCAGCCCAGUGUAAAGCUGCAACCUUGGGGCGAGUCAGAUCUGGUUGCCUCCUUCUAGCAAUGGAAGUUCAUCUAGGUUAGGACUGGGGCAGGGCCAGGCUAUCGCAAUGGGUGUGAAGACAGCAUGAACGGCAAAGGAGGCCCCCAAAUACGUGGGGAUAUGGAUGCUAAUGUCUCAGGUGAAGCUGCAUUUGGGGCUGCAGCCCUGCCCUGAGCACCUUGACUCUACCACUUGCCCUCCAGGAGCUCCAUUGACACCAGACUGUCCAUUAAGCUGGAGAGAGAUGGCAAGUAAAGAAAUAGGCCAGGAAUACUGACUUGCUCAGAAGCCAUAAGAGCAUUACAGGUAGAUAGAAUCCAAGGGACGAAAAAUGUAGACUUGGGGAGGAGAGAGCGCUGAAUGCUAUUUGGGAUGUUUGAGCUCUGCAAUAUCCAGAAUGGGAGAGAAUCUUAUCUCACCAGUUUUGCCAUUCAGACACAGCUAUGAGAAUGGAUCCUAGAGGACGACUUACUUCAUUCAGCUGGAGUCUGGAGGAAAAGGGAGCAGCUAACAAGCAUUCUUGAAAAACACGCCCUAAUGAUGCCACAUCAUUCUGGUGAUAUUUCCUAGAAACUCAUUAGAACUUGGAACUGUGCAAACAAGAACUUCUUUGAUGAGUAACUGGAACUCGAGAGUUGGGAUUGCAUGAAGGAGAAAUGUCAUCUUAGAGGACUGCCUCCCCGCUCCCCACCCUCAUUUGGCCAAGUUAUUUUAGGAAAUUUCCAAGAACAAGCAAUUAGAAUCACUCAUUGCUGAUUUCCUAGAAGUCUCCACAACAGAUUCUGAAGCCAAAUGCAAAAUGGGUGAGCCCAGCUUGUGAGGCCUGUGAAGAAAAUGUGAAUCCUACUCUAUAAAGUCGUUGGCCUCAGGGAGCAAGACUCAGAAGUAGAGCUGCGUUAGGGAAAAUGAGGACAGAACAGAAGGUCUAGAUGGCCAGGCAGAGCCCCGUGGCAAAGACGAGCCUUGAGAUGACUGUGGGCCCUCCCCUGCCGGCAGCCACAGCCUGUCUCAGACUCACUCCUCAGAGCCUGUUUCUCCAUCACUCCCUUUGUCCUUCUGCCCAUCAGAGGGAUGUUCUCCAGGCUUCUGUGUUGCUAUCUGGCUUCCGUGGGCCAUGGCUUGAGCCAGGCUGUGGGCUCUGGGUGACUGUCCCUGAGGUAUGGUGAGCUUCCUGAGUGGUGGCCACUUGGCAAAGUGAGUCCAUCGCAGGGAAGUGGGCAAUUACCGGGGAGAGGAAAAUCAUGGCUUUCUUGCUUCCCAAGAGGGGCUGAACUGGGCUCCCAAUUUCCCUGACACUCCCAGCUCAGCUUGUAGAGGAAUCAGGGAAUGGAGAUGCCUUGGGCUGCAAUUUUCUUUGAGAUGACUGUAAUUUUCCCCUCUUAUCCUCACCGGUAGCUGCUGUGGGACAGAGGCAGGCGGGGCUCUGAAAGCUUUUCCUCAAGCUCCCCUUCAGUGCAGAGCUGUUUUCACGUGCCCACCAGCCAGCAGGAGGUUAUGCUUCUGAUUGUGACCCCCUACUUCUCAGAAGACACUUCGGACUCCGCCCCCGCCUCCAUACCCAACAAUGCCGUGCGGCAUUUCGUGUGACUGGAAUGGAAAUCCAACCUGGCCCUCGAGGGCAGUGAAGCCAGUCCGAAUCGCAGCAGAUGAUGCCCUCUGCAGAGGCCGGGCUCAUGAACGGCCUGGGUGGGUGGAGGUGGGUUGACAGGAUGGGGUGGGCAGGGCAGGGGAGUGCAGGACAGUGACCAGCUGGUCCAGAGAGUCCUGCCAAAUUCAAUCCAGAUAUUACUGGAUUAAUCAGCAAAGGAGGGGGAGCCCCGCCCCCACCCCAUGGAGACACUGAUGAGCACCAUGGGAUAGCUGUGGCUUCCCAGGCAGCCCACGGACCUACAGCUGCCUAUCAGCAGCCAGGGCCUUCUGGGCAGAGCGCCUCGGACCCCCAAUUGCCCUGGGAGGGUGGGUUUUUGGUGUCAGCUUAGUUCAGCUCAGCUGGCUUUUAUAGAGCAUGCACUGGCUGGCUCACUGGGGUGAUGCUGUCGUGGGGUAGAUGAGCAGCAAGGCAGAUUCGCAGGGUUGGGUGCAGGCAGCACUCCAUGGGGGCAUGCACGGGGCCCUUGCUUUUCAAGCAGAGGUGGACUGAAGGCUGGGCUUGCAAGGGGGUGGGCUGGGGUGGGCGCUGGUAGGGUGUUCUGAAACAUUACCUAUAUACCUGCACUUUACAAAGCACUUUAUAUGUUUGCCUGGUGUUGGCUGAUGGUGGAAGGAGUGAUUGGAGAUGCCUGUCUGUGGCCUGGGUGCUGGUUAGUACCCCCAUGUCAGAGGUACUGACCCUGGGCUCAGAGCGGGUAGAGGCUCUCCCAGGGAUUCUCGAGUGUCUACAGGGGGACUGGGAUUCCCUUCCUGGGACCAGGAGGCGGGGCUCUUCCUGAGAUGCUAUGGCUGGAGGCCCUCCUCCCCCAGAAUCACAGGGCCAUAUGCUAGGAGGAAAGACCCUGUAAACUCCAGACCUGACCUCCUGGGACCUGGGGUUAGUCACCCAGGUGGGGAUCUGCCUCUCUUGCCCUUCAUUUAGAAUUGGCUGUGAGCCUCUAAGGGCCAGCCCUUAGCCAAAAGCCUCCAUGCAGCCCGGUGCUCCUGCAGAAGUGCUGCCUCCGGAGGGUUUCUGCAACUUGGGACUCCUGGCAGUGGGGCUAGUGUCCUCCAUUCACCCCUGCUCCUGCACAGUCCCCAGCCCUAGGUGUGCACCCUCUAGUGUGGGGCGAAUGGGCUCCUAUGCCCAUUAGCUCUGGGUUAGGCUCAGAUGUAUGUGCCGGGCUCCUGUUAUGGGAGGGCUCAGAGCACAGGGGCCCCUGGCCUGGGAGCGGGUAGCUGUGUGCAUGUGUGUGGGUGUGUGUGCCUCCAUGAGCCUGUGUGUGCCUUCGUGAGCCUAUGAGUGUGUGAGCAUGCCCGGUGUGCACGUGUGUGGGUGCGUGUGCCUGCCAGUGCAUGCGUAUGCAGCUCUAUGCUUGUGUGUAUGUGCAUGCGUGGGAGACAGAUGGUGGAGAGCGACUGGGAGUGGGCGACAGUGGAUCUGUCCCUGAGCCUACAGCACCCUGGGUGCCGAUGCCACAUCCACAUCCUGCCCCCAGACCUGCUUCCCGGAGUCACCCAUGCCUAUAUCCCCUGUGGCUUUGCCCAUCAGUCCGUCUUUGUGUCCAGGUCUGCCUCAGUGGACAGAAGAGUGAGAGUCUUGGCCCUUGAACCCCUCCUCUUCUCCAUCCUUCUCCACCUCCCCCCCUGCCUCUUCUUGGCAAAGCAGCUGGAGUGAGACCUGGGCUGAGGCCAAGGUUGGGGGUACUGUGCUCCCAUGAGCUGCAGACACCGUCCUCUCACCGGCUCUCCCUCCUGUGUCCUGGAGUGGAACCCACCCCCGUUGCCCACCCCUUAACCCCUGCCCCCUUGUCUGGGGUUCUGGCCAUCCCCCCCACCCCCACCCCCUAGUCUCCAGCUUCCAAGGCAGCUCCCAAGACAAUGGGUUGAGCAAGGGGCAGGCUGGGUCCUGUGCCUAGCCCCUCAGCUCCCCCAGCCACUGCAUGGGGCUUCUGCUGCUCUGUGGCACUGGCUGGGGAACCUCAGGACCAGAUGGGGCCUCCCAGGCCUCGGCUACUGCAUCACGCUCUGGACAGGGCCUUGGGCCCGGACGACGCCUGUGCCCGCCAUGCCCUCUGGCCAGAUGCUGCACCCUCCACCCAGCCUCCAGGUGAGUUCUCGUCAUACCCACGGUGCCCCACCCUCCUUGGCAUCCAGGUGAUGCAUCUACCUGAGGUUCCGAAUCCAGGGGGGAAAUGUUUGCCUUUGCACUGCAUAUUUACACACUGAUUUGAAUUGAGGGGUUCCCAAAAUGACAUCAGGCUUUUUCUGAAAAAGUCUGUUUUGCCCGAUUGGUUUGCCAGUGAGGUUCAGAGUGGACAAAUCAAAAUGAGCUGAUUCCAGACCUCUGAGGUUUUGACAAGUGCUCCAUACCUAGCAUUUGUCACAUCUAUAUGCUAUAGUAUAUGCCAGAGGCCACCUCAUUGCAACUUUGUAAACUUCCUAUUAACUUUUACGGCCCAUUUAAAAAUGGGCUAUGGGAGGGGGAGAUCCGUGGCUUUCCAAAAUCCCUUCAUGGGGUCUGUAAGCAGAAAUGUCUGCUGCCCCCUGUUCCAGGGCACGUCCCACUCCUCACUGGCAGGGCUCUCGGGCUCACUGAUUAUUCUCUGAGGAUCACACAGGGUCGAUUUUCUGUGAAUGCAAGUGCGUGGGGUGGGUGGUGGGGCGUCGAGCUGAACGCUGGUCUGGACAGGAAAGGCUCCUGCUUCAUGUCCCACCUUGACCCUCAGAGGUUUCCAGGCCCAGCUCUUGGGCCCUGGCUUCCUCCUCUCCCUCUCGUCUUUGGGGGGGGUCCAUCUCAUGCAUGUCUGUUACCAUGGACUCCAUCAUCACGGCUCCCAUCACCUCCAUCUGGCCUCUGUCAUCCUGGGCACAGCAUCUCAUCUCUGGCCAUUCCAGCCUCCAUCACCCGCCUCACCUCCAUCAUCCUCGCUUCGGGGCUCAUUCUGGCCUCCAGGGCUUUGUACAUGGUAGGCUUUCAUUCAUUCGUUUGCACAUUCGGUGAAGGUCUACUGUGUGCCAGGCCCUGUGCCAGGCAUCGUGUAGAUGGACGUUGCCCUUGUGAGUGCACGCCUCGGGGAGACGCACGCCAGCCGGUGGAUGGCAGGAGAGCCUGGGCCAGGGCUGGGGGUGGGGGCGUGGGUGUGGGCAU